GCAGAAGAGAUGCUGAAGGAAAUCACACCGGGAUACUAUGAUGACGUCAUCACUGAUGGACUGAAAGCAGAUCGUGAGACAGAAGACACACCUGAGAGCUAUGAUGAUGUCAUGACGAGCGGACAGAACGCUGAUUUCAAAAAAGUGGACGCACCAGAGAAUUAUGAUGAUGUCAUCAUUAAUAGGGUAACAGGUGAGAUGCACAGAACUACUUUGUUUUUUUUAUAUCACCCUUCGCAUGUUUGCAUUAUUAUUAAUGUGCUGGAGAAAGCUGGCUGAGAUCAGGAUCUAAUUGCAGGAGUUUAAUAGAAGUAAACAACAGAACAAACAGGAAAAUGAGAAACAAAAAACACAAGGAAGAGAAACACGAGCAAAACAAGCACAAAUACAUUCAACAACCGACAAAGCACAAAGGAAACAUAAGGGCUAUUUGUACACAGGAGAACAGAAGUGAUCAAUGAGUUGCUAU